CCUUGCUAAACAGGACCCAUGGGGGAGACGUUUGAAGAAGCCAUCAGGGUUUUGGCUAGAAGGCAGGGGUCCUCAAAGCUGUGAAAGUCUGUUCUAUCAGAGGUGGCUGCCAAGCUGUGCUUUCUUCUGCAGAUGGCAAAAGAAAAAGAUGUGAAACAAGACAUAUUUAAAUGGAAGAGAGAGGAAUGGGAGAGGAAGGCAAGAAUAUAAAUAUUUAAGAAAGCUUUAUUUUCCUGAAGCAAAGAAUGACACUUGAAACCGAGGGAAUCUCAAUGUCCACCUUGCAUUUCCAUGACCAGCAAGAGAGGGGAACCCCUACAGGUGAU
rnacentral:lncRNA from 1 species